AAUAAAUAAAAUGCAGGCCUGACACGGGAUUUUUAAAAAACUGAGUAAUGGCAGGCAGCAAGACAAUCCCAGAGAGAUGAAUGAAGUGAAUGACCCAAGGUUACACAGGAUGGAACCUAUAUCUUCUGAUUUCUCUACUGGCCUGCACUCCACGUUCUGAGGAGGAGUCCUUGAAGCUACUGAGAUAAUGGAACAAUGGAGUAGAUAGUCCAUUAUAACUCAUCUGGGAUUCUUCUCAACUUCAAGUGACCACAGGUGGAAACAUGGUCUGGUAACACCACGCUUCCGGAUGUGAUUGUGGAGCUGGAUUGCUUAACCUGGGCUAAGUC
rnacentral:lncRNA from 1 species